AUUGAACGCUGGCGGCAUGCUUUACACAUGCAAGUCGGACGGCAGCACAGAGAAGCUUGCUUCUUGGGUGGCGAGUGGCGAACGGGUGAGUAAUAUAUCGGAACGUACCGAGUAAUGGGGGAUAACUAAUCGAAAGAUUAGCUAAUACCGCAUAUUCUCUGAGGAGGAAAGCAGGGGACCUUCGGGCCUUGCGUUAUUCGAGCGGCCGAUAUCUGAUUAGCUAGUUGGUGGGGUAAAGGCCUACCAAGGCGACGAUCAGUAACGGGUCUGAAAGGAUGAUCCGCCACACUGGGACUGAGACACGGCCCAGACUCCUACGGGAGGCAGCAGUGGGGAAUUUUGGACAAUGGGCGCAAGCCUGAUCCAGCCAUGCCGCGUGUCUGAAGAAGGCCUUCGGGUUGUAAAGGACUUUUGUCAGGGAAGAAAAGGCUGUUGCUAAUACCGACAGCUGAUGACGGUACCUGAAGAAUAAGCACCGGCUAACUACGUG
rnacentral:rRNA from 1 species